GCAUAUCAAUAAGCGGAGGAAAAGAAACUAACAAGGAUUCCCCUAGUAACGGCGAGUGAAGCGGGAAGAGCUCAAAUUUGAAAUCUGGUAGCCUUCGGUUGCCCGAGUUGUAAUCUAGAGAAAUGUUUUCCGUGCCGGCCCAUGUACAAGUCCCUUGGAACAGGGCGUCAUAGAGGGUGAGAAUCCCGUCCUUGACAUGGACCCCCGGUGCUUUGUGAUACAUUUUCAACGAGUCGAGUUGUUUGGGAAUGCAGCUCAAAAUGGGUGGUGAAUUCCAUCUAAAGCUAAAUAUUGGCGAGAGACCGAUAGCGAACAAGUACCGUGAGGGAAAGAUGAAAAGCACUUUGGAAAGAGAGUUAAACAGUACGUGAAAUUGUUGAAAGGGAAACGAUUGAAGUCAGUCAUGCUCUUUGGUAUUUAUAUCAUUGAGUGGGGUCAACAUCAGUUUUGAUCGAUGGAUAAAGGCACUAGGAAGGUAGCACUCUCGGGUGAACUUAUAGCCUAGCGUCAUAUACAUUGAUUGGGACUGAGGAACGCAGCAUGCCUUUAUGGCCGGGAUUCGUCCACGUACAUGCUUAGGAUGUUGACAUAAUGGCUUUAAACGACCCGUCUUGAAACACGGACC
rnacentral:rRNA from 1 species